rnacentral:rRNA from 1 species
ACUCCUACGGGAGGCAGCAGUGGGGAAUUUUGGACAAUGGGCGAAAGCCUGAUCCAGCAAUGCCGCGUGAGUGAAGAAGGCCUUCGGGUUGUAAAGCUCUUUUGUCAGGGAAGAAACGGGAGUGGCUAAUAUCCAUUCCUAAUGACGGUACCUGAAGAAUAAGCACCGGCUAACUACGUGCCAGCAGCCGCGGUAAUACGUAGGGUGCAAGCGUUAAUCGGAAUUACUGGGCGUAAAGCGUGCGCAGGCGGUUUUGUAAGUCUGUCGUGAAAUCCCCGGGCUCAACCUGGGAACUGCGUUUGAAACUCCAAAGCUAGAGUAUAGGAGAGGGGGGUAGAAUUCCACGUGUAGCGGUGAAAUGCGUAGAGAUGUGGAGGAAUACCAAUGGCGAAGGCAGCCCCCUGGCCUAAUACUGACGCUCAUGCACGAAAGCGUGGGGAGCAAACAGGAUUAGAUACCCUGGUAGUCCACGCCCUAAACGAUGUCUACUAGUUGUUGGUGGAGUAAAAUCCAUUAGUAACGCAACUAACGCGUGAAGUAGACCGCCUGGGGAGUACGGUCGCAAGAUUAAAACUCAAAGGAAUUGACGG